rnacentral:rRNA from 1 species
UCGGGAAUAUUGGGCAAUGGAGGAAACUCUGACCCAGCAAUACCGCGUGAAGGAUGAAGGUCUUCGGAUUGUAAACUUCUGUUAUAAAGGAAGAAUAAAAUGACGGUACUUUAUAAGUAAGCCCCGGCAAACUAUGUGCCAGCAGCCGCGGUGAUACAUAGGGGGCAAGCGUUGUCCGGAAUGACUGGGUGUAAAGGGUGUGUAGGUGGCUUAUUAAGUUGGAAGUGAAAGCCCGGGGCUCAACUCCGGAACUGCUUUCAAAACUGGUUGGCUUGAGUGUGGGAGAGGUUAGUGGAACUCCUAGUGUAGCGGUGGAAUGCGUAGAUAUUAGGAAGAACAUCAGAGGCGAAGGCGACUAACUGGAACAUUACUGACACUGAAACACGAAAGGGUGGGUAGCAAACAGG